GUGCCAGCCGCCGCGGUAAUACGAAGGUGGCAAGCGUUACUCGGAAUUACUAGGCGUAAAGCGCAGGUAGGCGGUUCGGAAAGUCUUUUGUGAAAGCUCCCGGCUUAACUGGGAGAGGCCAAGGGAUACUCCCGGACUUGAGUGUGGUAGAGGAUGCUGGAAUUCCCGGUGUAGCGGUGAAAUGCGUAGAGAUCGGGAGGAAUACCAAUGGCGAAAGCAGGCAUCUGGGCCAUCACUGACGCUGAGCUGCGAAAGCUAGGGGAGCAAACAGGAUUAGAUACCCGGGUAGUCC
rnacentral:rRNA from 1 species